rnacentral:tRNA from 1 species
UCAUUUCUGGUUUAAUUUAAAAGAAUGUCAGUUUGUCGUACUGGUGGUGAUAGUUAUAUCGAAGUGGG